rnacentral:rRNA from 1 species
AACGAACGCUGGCGGCAUGCCUAACACAUGCAAGUCGAACGAGACCUUCGGGUCUAGUGGCGCACGGGUGCGUAACGCGUGGGAACCUGCCCUUAGGUUCGGAAUAACUCCCCGAAAGGGGUGCUAAUACCGGAUAAUGUCUUCGGACCAAAGAUUUAUCGCCUUUGGAUGGGCCCGCGUUGGAUUAGCUAGUUGGUAGGGUAAAAGCCUACCAAGGCGACGAUCCAUAGCUGGUCUGAGAGGAUGAUCAGCCACACUGGGACUGAGACACGGCCCAGACUCCUACGCGAGGCAGCAGUGGGGAAUAUUGGACAAUGGGCGAAAGCCUGAUCCAGCAAUGCCGCGUGAGUGAUGAAGGCCUUAGGGUUGUAAAGCUCUUUUAACCGGGAUGAUAAUGACAGUACCGGGAGAAUAAGCUCCGGCUAACUCCGUG